ACGGAUUCAGCGCAGGAAGCGCACAAACGAACAGGGACACACUGGACAGCCGCCAGGACGGUGAGCAGAUCAAGGAUGUCAGGACUACAGUCUGCAAGGCCCCGCAAACGCGGGGUUUU
rfam:Pseudomonas sp. EGD-AK9 Contig_225, whole genome shotgun sequence.